UUAAAUUGAAGAGUUUGAUCAUGGCUCAGAUUGAACGCUGGCGGCAGGCCUAACACAUGCAAGUCGAACGGUAACAGGAAUCAGCUUGCUGAUUCGCUGACGAGUGGCGGACGGGUGAGUAAUGUCUGGGAAACUGCCUGAUGGAGGGGGAUAACUACUGGAAACGGUAGCUAAUACCGCAUAACGUCGCAAGACCAAAGAGGGGGACCUUCGGG
rnacentral:rRNA from 1 species